GGCUUGCUGAGCGGCAUUCGUUAUUGUUUCUUGUUUUUGUGUGCCUUACGAGAGUAGCUCUGAUGAACUCCAGACAAAAGAGUUCUAAAGUUGUUUCGAAGGGUGAACUUGGCACUGGCAUCAGUGCACGGCUUCCCAAGGAAGCACGAGAGCUCCAGGAGGUCAGGGCUUUGUUGACUGUCCUCCUGUGCCUGCAACAAUGGCUGAUUCACAGCAGACACUCACUAUAUACUCAUUUAUGGACAUAAAUGCUUUCAGGGUGGUGAUUUAUUUCCCUCUUUCCCUAUAAAGACACAGAGCAUGUGCUGUAUUCCAGGGUGCGUGGUGGAUGCUUUUGAAUAAGUGAAAGAAUGAAUAAAAAGAAUAAAUGAUCAAAUGAAUGCAUGCCUGAGCUUAUAAGAGACAUUGGCCAGGCUUAGACCAUCAUGGCAGUUGGCCUGUCUAUAGGGAAAUGCUUUUCAGUUGUUCAUAUUUUCUUAGCCCUGCCCAGGGGGAGCUCGAUCAUAGAGCAAGCUGGCUUUAGCUCCUUGGUCUUUUGCCCAUUUUUAGAACUUGAAUUAUUUGUCUUCUUAGUGUUGACUUUUGAGAUCACAUGGUAGAUUCUUGGAACAUGUUCUUUACUGGAUGUUACGACCCAUUGGGCCCCUAUGGCCCUGGUCUCUAUCUCCGCAAGAAGGAACCAGGCGUGAUGUGGAUUAGAAGUACAAGCUUGUGGGAGAUGGGCUAGCCCUUACUUUCCAGGCAGCCUGAGCGACCUCCGCACCAGUCUUUUAUUGAGACAGAACAAUACAGUUUCAAACUAGUAACCAUCCGCCUCAUGUCUGGAUUUAUUAAUUGGAUAGUCACCUAAAAACAACUCCGCAUAUUCUCACCUUACUGGAUACCAACCAGCUCAGACCAAAAAAUCUAAAAAGUUCCUGUAAUGCCAUUCCCUUACCUCAUUCCCCUCCCUCCAUUCUCUUUACAGGCAGCCCAUACAGCCCAUCUCCCCAGGAAGGAGUCAAAAAGAUACUAUGCCCAUCAUCCCACCUCCUUAUAAUAGACAAAAAAGACAUAGGAGAAUCAACCCCUUACCCUCUCCAACUGAUGUCCCACUUAAGAAAGGUGAAUGGGUUAACCUCUAACCUACCCCACUCCACUGGAUGUCCCACCUUGGAAAGAUAAAUGGGCCAACCCCCACCUUCCUGACCUUUAAAAUAAAAUCCCCAUUUGCCAUUACCCCCAUGUGUGAUUUCUUCCUGUCCCAGUUGGAAAUCUU